UGCGGUAGGGGAGACUGGAAUUCCCGGUGUAACGGUGGAAUGUGUAGAUAUCGGGAAGAACACCAAUGGCGAAGGCAGGUCUCUGGGCCGUCACUGACGCUGAGGAGCGAAAGCGUGGGGAGCGAACAGGAUUAGAUACCCUGGUAGUCCACGCCGUAAACGGUGGAUGCUGGAUGUGGGGACCAUUCCACGGUCUCCGUGUCGGAGCCAACGCGUUAAGCAUCCCGCCUGGGGAGUACGGCCGCAAGGCUAAAACUCAAAGAAAUUGACGGGGGCCCGCACAAGCGGCGGAGCAUGCGGAUUAAUUCGAUGCAACGCGAAGAACCUUACCUGGGCUUGACAUGUUCCCGACAGCCGUAGAGAUACGGUCUCCCUUCGGGGCGGGUUCACAGGUGGUGCAUGGUCGUCGUCAGCUCGUGUCGUGAGAUGUUGGGUUAAGUCCCGCAACGAGCGCAACCCUCGCCCUGUGUUGCCAGCACGUCAUGGUGGGAACUCACGGGGGACCGCCGGGGUCAACUCGGAGGAAGGUGGGGAUGACGUCAGAUCAUCAUGCCCCUUACGUCCAGGGCUUCACGCAUGCUACAAUGGCCGGUACAACGGGAUGCGACACCGCGAGGUGGAGCGGAUCCCUUAAAACCGGUCUCAGUUCGGAUUGGAGUCUGCAACCCGACUCCAUGAAGGCGGAGUCGCUAGUAAUCGCGGAUCAGCAACGCCGCGGUGAAUGCGUUCCCGGGCCUUGUACACACCGCCCGUCAAGUCAUGAAAGUGGGUAGCACCCGAAGCCGGUGGCCCAACCUUUUGGGGGGAGCCGUCUAAGGUGAGACUCGUGAUUGGGACUAAGUCGUAACAAGGUAGCCGUACCGGAAGGUGCGGCUG
rnacentral:rRNA from 1 species